GGGGGGCGCUGCGCGGCCGGGGCGGAGCGCGGGGCUGGGGAGUGCAGCGCCGAGCGGCCCUGCCUGAUCGGAAGUGCCACGCGGAGCCAGCCGCCUGGGCUCCCCCGGAGUGACGACCACGCCUCUGGGCCCCCAACUGCAGGGAGUGACCUGAGUCCGAGUCAAGAGUGGUUGAACAAGAGGGGUAAACUGAGGCCCAGAAAGCAGAAGUAACUUCCAUGAGACCUCAGAGUGGGUUCGUUCAGGGGCAAGAUAACACCCCAAGACUCCUUGCUGCUGUUUUGGGUUUGAAGAAAUGAGGACAUUUGUCCCACAGAAUCCUGCGUUUUCUGGUGCCUCUUUUGAGGAGCAAGCCAAUCCCUGAACAGGCCCGAGGCCCUCCUCGGAAGCACAUGGCUGCUCGCGAGAUGCCCUCCCAGCCCCCGACCCGGAUCCUCCCCGCUCCAUCUUCUAGCUCGUGGUCAGCAUCUAACAAGCACGCCCCCUGUCCCAGCUCUGUGCUGGACACCAGGGACCCAGAGGUGACCAUGGCAGACCGGUCUGUGGGUUCUGAGCUCCUCAUCUACUGAGGGUGCUCCCAAGCUGGGAGGGAGGCACAGGUGCCAUGAGGGCACAGAGAAGGCGUGCCAAACCUACAUUUGUGCAGUUGGAAAACGUUUCCUGGAGGGGGUGCCCAGGGGCUUGUGGGGAGGGUGGUGCGGGAUCCAACCUCAAAGGGGCCGAAAAGCUGUGUUAAGGGAUCUGGCCCAUCCGGAAGGCUCUCACAGCCCCUGGAAGCUUCUAUGAGGGGGCGGGAGCAGCAUUAGGAUUGAAAAAGCGAGUGAGAUGUAAAAUCUCUCAAGUUUCUCGCUCCUGCUGAGGCAUGAGUCACCCAUGGUGGUGCACUGAGCUAUUUCGAGCCCAGGGGGUGAAAGGGUCAAGAUAUAGUGUGGGGGGGGGCGCCUGGGGGGCGCAGUCGGUUAAGCGUCCGACUUCAGCCAGGUCACGAUCU